rnacentral:rRNA from 1 species
GGUUAAGCGACUAAGCGUACACGGUGGAUGCCCUGGCAGUCAGAGGCGAUGAAGGACGUGCUAAUCUGCGAUAAGCGUCGGUGAGGUGAUAUGAACCGUUAUAACCGGCGAUUUCCGAAUGGGGAAACCCAGUGUGUUUCGACACACUAUCAUUAACUGAAUCCAUAGGUUAAUGAGGCGAACCGGGGGAACUGAAACAUCUAAGUACCCCGAGGAAAAGAAAUCAACCGAGAUUCCCCCAGUAGCGGCGAGCGAACGGGGAGGAGCCCAGAGCCUGAAUCAGUGUGUGUGUUAGUGGAAGCGUCUGGAAAGGCGCGCGAUACAGGGUGACAGCCCCGUACACAAAAAUGCACAUAUUGUGAGCUCGAUGAGUAGGGCGGGACACGUGGUAUCCUGUCUGAAUAUGGGGGGACCAUCCUCCAAGGCUAAAUACUCCUGACUGACCGAUAGUGAACCAGUACCGUGAGGGAAAGGCGAAAAGAACCCCGGCGAGGGGAGUGAAAAAGAACCUGAAACCGUGUACGUACAAGCAGUGGGAGCCUCUUAAUGGGGUGACUGCGUACCUUUUGUAUAAUGGGUCAGCGACUUAUAUUCUGUAGCAAGGUUAACCGAAUAGGGGAGCCGAAGGGAAACCGAGUCUUAACUGGGCGUUAAGUUGCAGGGUAUAGACCCGAAACCCGGUGAUCUAGCCAUGGGCAGGUUGAAGGUUGGGUAACACUAACUGGAGGACCGAACCGACUAAUGUUGAAAAAUUAGCGGAUGACUUGUGGCUGGGGGUGAAAGGCCAAUCAAACCGGGAGAUAGCUGGUUCUCCCCGAAAGCUAUUUAGGUAGCGCCUCGUGAAUUCAUCUCCGGGGGUAGAGCACUGUUUCGGCAAGGGGGUCAUCCCGACUUACCAACCCGAUGCAAACUGCGAAUACCGGAGAAUGUUAUCACGGGAGACACACGGCGGGUGCUAACGUCCGUCGUGAAGAGGGAAACAACCCAGACCGCCAGCUAAGGUCCCAAAGUCAUGGUUAAGUGGGAAACGAUGUGGGAAGGCCCAGACAGCCAGGAUGUUGGCUUAGAAGCAGCCAUCAUUUAAAGAAAGCGUAAUAGCUCACUGGUCGAGUCGGCCUGCGCGGAAGAUGUAACGGGGCUAAACCAUGCACCGAAGCUGCGGCAGCGACACUAUGUGUUGUUGGGUAGGGGAGCGUUCUGUAAGCCUGUGAAGGUGUACUGUGAGGUAUGCUGGAGGUAUCAGAAGUGCGAAUGCUGACAUAAGUAACGAUAAAGCGGGUGAAAAGCCCGCUCGCCGGAAGACCAAGGGUUCCUGUCCAACGUUAAUCGGGGCAGGGUGAGUCGACCCCUAAGGCGAGGCCGAAAGGCGUAGUCGAUGGGAAACAGGUUAAUAUUCCUGUACUUGGUGUUACUGCGAAGGGGGGACGGAGAAGGCUAUGUUGGCCGGGCGACGGUUGUCCCGGUUUAAGCGUGUAGGCUGGUUUUCCAGGCAAAUCCGGAAAAUCAAGGCUGAGGCGUGAUGACGAGGCACUACGGUGCUGAAGCGACAAAUGCCCUGCUUCCAGGAAAAGCCUCUAAGCAUCAGGUAACAUCAAAUCGUACCCCAAACCGACACAGGUGGUCAGGUAGAGAAUACCAAGGCGCUUGAGAGAACUCGGGUGAAGGAACUAGGCAAAAUGGUGCCGUAACUUCGGGAGAAGGCACGCUGAUAUGUAGGUGAAGCGACUUGCUCGUGGAGCUGAAAUCAGUCGAAGAUACCAGCUGGCUGCAACUGUUUAUUAAAAACACAGCACUGUGCAAACACGAAAGUGGACGUAUACGGUGUGACGCCUGCCCGGUGCCGGAAGGUUAAUUGAUGGGGUUAGCGGUAACGCGAAGCUCUUGAUCGAAGCCCCGGUAAACGGCGGCCGUAACUAUAACGGUCCUAAGGUAGCGAAAUUCCUUGUCGGGUAAGUUCCGACCUGCACGAAUGGCGUAAUGAUGGCCAGGCUGUCUCCACCCGAGACUCAGUGAAAUUGAACUCGCUGUGAAGAUGCAGUGUACCCGCGGCAAGACGGAAAGACCCCGUGAACCUUUACUAUAGCUUGACACUGAACAUUGAGCCUUGAUGUGUAGGAUAGGUGGGAGGCUUUGAAGUGUGGACGCCAGUCUGCAUGGAGCCGACCUUGAAAUACCACCCUUUAAUGUUUGAUGUUCUAACGUGGGCCCCUUACCGGGGUUGCGGACAGUGUCUGGUGGGUAGUUUGACUGGGGCGGUCUCCUCCUAAAGAGUAACGGAGGAGCACGAAGGUUGGCUAAUCCUGGUCGGACAUCAGGAGGUUAGUGCAAUGGCAUAAGCCAGCUUGACUGCGAGCGUGACGGCGCGAGCAGGUGCGAAAGCAGGUCAUAGUGAUCCGGUGGUUCUGAAUGGAAGGGCCAUCGCUCAACGGAUAAAAGGUACUCCGGGGAUAACAGGCUGAUACCGCCCAAGAGUUCAUAUCGACGGCGGUGUUUGGCACCUCGAUGUCGGCUCAUCACAUCCUGGGGCUGAAGUAGGUCCCAAGGGUAUGGCUGUUCGCCAUUUAAAGUGGUACGCGAGCUGGGUUUAGAACGUCGUGAGACA